ensembl:lncRNA
GUCGCCUUUUUGUGAACACUUGCCCUCAUUCUGGAAUACGCUCUUUCGAACAAACAGCUCCCAUCUCCACUUAACACUAGCCCCCUUCCCUUGGAGCCGAGAAGCAGUAUUACAUUACCAGGCAUUCUCGUUCUCAGAGGUGCCUUCCUGAGAUGAGGUGUAAAUUAAUGCCAGCCUGACCACUCUGGGUCAUUAAAGACCAGAUGGUAAUUUUUGCAAGAGGAGCAACUGAUCCUUACUGGCCUGGCCCAAGUCCCACCUGGAUAAUUGCCUCCUGCCUACACAAUAUCCCCCCUCGCGUUUCAGACACAGAAAUGAUUUUCAUUUCAUCCUCUGAAAGCUAGCCAGGCAGGGCUGUGCUGGCGUCCCCCCCCUCCACUGCUGUUGAGUGGGCGCAUUGUAGCAAAGCAACAUUCCUCUGGGGGAUCCGCAAAGUGCACUAUGGCGAGAAGGGUGGGCAAUAGAAAUCUAAGUGGUUUAAUAAUAUAUUUGGAAAAAUAAGACUUAGUCAUCUUAAGUGAAAACACUUCAUCUCCAUUACAUUCUUUUAAGCCACAAGAUUGAUCAGAGAAGAAAAAAGUCUAAUUUGGACAUGGAUUAUCUUUUGCUGGAAUUAUAGAAGUAUAGCUCAUCCUCAGCCUAGGCGGACCCUGGAGUGGGUCCACUUUUGACGUUAAAUCUACCUACGGCAAUCAGGGAUGGGUUUCUGCUGGAGUAAAUUCCAUUUCUUACGACUAUCCAGGGAAGCCGAAUGAUACAGCAAGAACCUUGGAUGCUUCCUCAGCAUGUAACUGCCUACACAGGAGAAGAUCUGACUGGCAGGAUGAAUGGAACAGAUCAGUCUGACCAGGAAACAGCCAGGGCCAAGCACCAAGGUCAAGAGCACCCAGAGUUGACUGAUUGGCACAAAGCAUUUGAAGAAAGGAAGACUUCUUGUCCCUAGAGGAGAUGUUAUAUCAACAAGGUAGACAACCCAGAUCUUGUUGCCAUAUGGACUUCCUGUUUGAUAUUUGUGCUCAUUUCACAACCCUCAAACUGCAAGGCAGUUAGCAUCCCAUCCACCAAAUGCUAGAAUCACCUGCUGGGCAUUGGGACAUUUCCAAAUUCUCUCCGAGGGGUAGUCCAGCGGACAACCACUGCGUUUAACUAAGCUGGACGACUCUUAGCCUCUAAAACACUCCACACAAUACUAUGCCUCUGGGUCACUGCACAUUCUGUUCCUUAUAACUGAAAUGUUCAUCUGACCUUUCUUCCUCACCUGAUGCAUCUUCCCUAAUUCUGAAAAGGCUUCAUCCAUCUUUCCCCUGCCACAGAUCCCAUGCUGCAUUUUGAAUAUUGCCUAGAGUAGCCAAUGGGUUCAUGUACAAACUGAAACCUGUCUAAUGGGGGCUUUGAACUGUGUGGAAUCUGGAAGCAGGUGAAUUCAACACUUUUAGCAGCUCAACUUUACUAUUGAAAAUUCAUACUUAUUCCUUCCUUCAGCUCUACCAUCUUAAGCAUUUUGGCUUUUCUUGCUAAUUGCCUCAUGGUUGCAAGAUGGCUGCUAGAGCUCUAGCAUCAUAUUUUCACAGAACUAUUGCAAUUAACAAAGAAGAGGAUAAUCAGAAGGCUUUAUCCCCAAUGUAUUUUGUAUUUUUUAUCUGAGAAGUAAAUCUGUCCCCACAGACAUCCUCCACAUCUCAUUAUAAUCUAUUAUAGUUUAUAAUAGAUUAAGUUACUGUUGCUUAAAAAAUAAAAUUGCUCCUUAGUGUAAAGAUACCA